AUUGAACGCUGGCGGCAUGCCUUACACAUGCAAGUCGAACGGCAGCACGGGAGCAAUCCUGGUGGCGAGUGGCGAACGGGUGAGUAAUAUAUCGGAACGUGCCCAGUCGUGGGGAUAACGUAGCGAAAGCUACGCUAAUACCGCAUACGAUCUAUGGAUGAAAGCGGGGGAUCGCAAGACCUCGCGCGAUUGGAGCGGCCGAUAUCAGAUUAGGUAGUUGGUGAGGUAAAGGCUCACCAAGCCGACGAUCUGUAGCUGGUCUGAGAGGACGACCAGCCACACUGGGACUGAGACACGGCCCAGACUCCUACGGGAGGCAGCAGUGGGGAAUUUUGGACAAUGGGCGCAAGCCUGAUCCAGCAAUGCCGCGUGCAGGAUGAAGCU
rnacentral:rRNA from 1 species